CCCCUCCAUUCUGAUUUGCCACCUACUACAGAUGCUGAUCCUGGGGAUACAAAUCUCCCUGCUUCUUCGUCCCCAACAUUACCUGUCCUCCCCGAUGGCAGUGGUGCGAUUGUGGGAGCUUCUGAUUCUGUCUUAGUCAACAACUCUGCUGAGGCCCUCGAGCAUCGAGCUCACGAACAGGUUUUUCCAUUUUUUCUUAACCUUUCUAUUCAUUUUUGUACCCCCUUCGUUCUUAUUUAGCUGGUAAGAUCGUUAUCAUUCAUUUAUUUU